ACGCACCUUGCGCCCCUCGGCUAUUCCUUGGGGCAUGCCUGUUUGAGUAUCAAGAACACCUCAACUCUCAUGGUUUGCCAUGAAGAGCUUGGACUCUGGGGGCUUGCUGGCCAUCUGGUUGGCUCCCCUCAAAUGAAUCAGCUUGCCAGUGUUUGGUGGCAUCACGGGUGUGAUAACUAUCUACGCUUGUGGUUGGCCACCAGGUAACCUUUGUCACUGAGGGUUCACUGGAGCUUACAAACGUCUCUCCUUAGCGAAGACAGCUUUUGAACGUUCGAUCUCAAAUCAGGUAGGACUACCCGCUGAACUUA
rnacentral:rRNA from 1 species